CCUACGGGAGGCACCAGUGGGGAAUAUUGCACAAUGGGCGCAAGCCUGAUGCAGCCAUGCCGCGUGUAUGAAGAAGGCCCUAGGGUUGUAAAGUACUUUCAGUCGGGAGGAAGGCGUUGAUGCUAAUAUCAUCAACGAUUGACGUUACCGACAGAAGAAGCACCGGCUGACUCCGUGCCAGCAGCCGCGGUAACACGGAGGGUGCAAGCGUUAAUCGGAAUUACUGGGCGUAAAGCGCACGCAGGCGGUUGAUUAAGUUAGAUGUGAAAUCCCCGGGCUUAACCUGGGAAUGGCAUCUAAGACUGGUCAGCUAGAGUCUUGUAGAGGGGGGUAGAGUUCCAUGUGUAGCGGUGAAAUGCGUAGAGAUGUGGAGGAAUACCGGUGCGAAGGCGGCCCCCUGGACAAAGACUGACGCUCAGGUGCGAAAGCGUGGGGAGCAAACAGGAUUAGAUACCCGCGUAGUC
rnacentral:rRNA from 1 species